AACGAACGCUGGCGGCGUGCUUAACACAUGCAAGUCGAACGGUAAGGCCCUUCGGGGUACACGAGUGGCGAACGGGUGAGUAACACGUGGGUGAUCUGCCCUGCACUUCGGGAUAAGCCUGGGAAACUGGGUCUAAUACCGGAUAGGACCCUGGGAUGCAUGUCCUGGGGUGGAAAGCUUUUGCGGUGUGGGAUGGGCCCGCGGCCUAUCAGCUUGUUGGUGGGGUGAUGGGCUACCAAGGCGACGACGGGUAGCCGGCCUGAGAGGUUGACCGGCCACACUGGGACUGAGAUACGGCCCAGACUCCUACGGGAGGCAGCAGUGGGGAAUAUUGCACAAUGGGCGCAAGCCUGAUGCAGCGACGCCGCGUGAGGGAUGACGGCCUUCGGGUUGUAAACCUCUUUCAGCACCGACGAAGCGCAAGUGACGGUAGGUGCAGAAGAAGGACCGGCCAACUACGUGCCAGCCGCCGCAGUAA
rnacentral:rRNA from 1 species